GCCUCGGUGGCUCCGUAGGCGAGAGCGCCGGCCUACGGAUCCCCUGGUGGCGGGUUCGAAUCCCGACCGAGGUG
rnacentral:tRNA from 1 species